UUGAAAGGGAAACGAUUGAAGUCAGUCGUACCAGCGGGAAAUCAACCUUUCGAGUGGGGGUUUUGGAGUUUUGAAGAGUGUCAAAACCUUUGAGAUUUCAAAAUUUUCGCUCCUUUGGUGUACUUUCUCGUGGGUAGGUUAACAUCGAUUUUGAUCAUCAUAAAAAGAUUGGAGGAAUGUAGCUUCGAUCUUGUAUUGAAGUGUUAUAGCCUUUGGUAAAUGUGAUGAUUAGGAUCGAGGAUUGCAACGAAUACCCUUUUGGGCUAUCCGCCUGAUCUCUGAUACGUGGCCUUGGUAUCGAAAGCGUGCUUAUGGUAUUGAGGUAUUACGGUCAAAAGGUUAGAACGGAUUACAUUCGUUAAGGAUGUUGACGUA
rnacentral:rRNA from 3 species